AAUUUUCCGUCCUCAAAAUCGCUCCCUUGUUGUUCGGUGUAAAAGCUCAAAUCAUAGACAGAAUAGUUCUCACGAUGUUUAUGCGAGACUGCCUGUAAUGUGUCAGCGAACUUGACAGACCUUAAUUUUUCAUUCAGCUCAACCAUAAGGUCGGUGCACAUUGCAAUUUGUCAAACUGAUUUCAGAUGUAGUUUAAUGAUGUAUGAAAAAUACAAGGUAAACGCCAUCUGAAGAUACCACGGACUCAAAAUAUUUACCUAUAACAUUCAGCAGAACCUGGACUCGGCCCGACAGAUCGCAGUGUGCAUAAAUGUGCUUUAAUAAUAUUUAUAUACAACUGUUUAAACUUAUCUGCAUGGGG